CUAGCCGUAAACGAUGGGUACUAGGUGUGGGAGGUAUCGACCCCUUCCGUGCCGGAGUUAACGCAAUAAGUACCCCGCCUGGGGAGUACGGUCGCAAGACUAAAACUCAAAGGAAUUGACGGGGGCCCGCACAAGCAGCGGAGCAUGUGGUUUAAUUCGAAGCAACGCGAAGAACCUUACCUAGACUUGACAUCUCCUGAAUUACCCGUAAUGGGGGAAGCUCUUCGGAGCAGGAAGACAGGUGG
rnacentral:rRNA from 1 species